rfam:Ipomoea nil DNA, scaffold: scaffold0878, cultivar: Tokyo-kokei standard.
GACUUCGUGGCCCAAUGGAUAAGGUGUUGGUCUACAAAACUAGAGAUUCUGGGUUUGAUCCCCAGCGGAGUUG